rfam:Gossypium hirsutum cultivar TM-1 chromosome 8, whole genome shotgun sequence
AGACCCUAGGUCAGGCGGGAUUACCCACUGAGUUUAAGCAUAUCAAUAAGCGGAGGAAAAGAAACUUACCAGGAUUCCCCUAGUAACCGCGAGCGAACCGGGAAAAGCCCAGCUUGAGAAUCAGGCGCCACCGGCGUUCGAAUUGUAGUCUGGAGAAGCAUCCUCAGCGACAGACUGGGCCCAAGUCCCCUGAAAAGGGGCACCGGAGAGGGUGUGUGCCCGGACCCUGUUACACCACGAGGCGCUGUCUACGAGUCGGGUUGUUUGGGAAUGCAGCCUUAAUCGGGCAGUAAAUUUCGUCCAAGGCUAAAUACGGGCGAGAGACCGAUAGCGAACAAGUACUGCGAGGGAAAAUGAAAAGGACUUUGAAAAGAGAGUCAAAGAGUGCUUGAAAUUAUCGGGAGGGAAGCGGAUGGGGGCCGACGAUGCAACCCGGUCGAAUGUUGAACUGCGAGAGCCAAUCCGCCAAUCGGCUCGGGGCAUGGACCGACGGGGUCAUGGCAGUGGCCCAAGCCCGGGCCUUUGAUAUGCCUGUGGAGAAUUUGCCUCCUCAAUUGUGGGAUCCAGCACGCGCUGUCUCGGCGUGCUUCGGCACCUGCGUUCUCCGAGCAUCGGCCUGCGGGCUCUCCAUUCGGCCCGUCUUGAAACACGGACCAAGGAGUCUGACAUGUGUCCGAGUCAACGGGCUAGAAAACCCGUAAGGCGUAAGGAAGCUGAUUGGCGGGAUCCCUCGCGGCUACACCGCCGACCGACCUUGAUCUUUUGAGAAGGGUUCGAGUGAGAGCAUGCCUGUCGGGUCCUGAAAGAUGGUGAACUAUGCCUAAGCGGGGCGAAGCCAGAGGAAACUUUGGUGGAGGCCCGCAGCGAUACUAAUGUGCAAAUCGUUCGUCUAACUUGGGUAUAGGGGUGAAAGACUAAUCGAACCGUCUAGUGUUACGGGGCUAGACCUUUCAUCUCGCAAUCCGUGCGGUCUUAGGCAAUUUACACGUCCAAACUUGCCCAAGUCAGCCUUUACGCUCAAAAAUGAGGAUUCCUUAAGAACUCCUCCCAAGGCACUAAUUUGUAUAGCGGAAGCGUUUGUGCCAAAAGAAGCUAAACGUAAGCAAAAGAAAGCCAAAGAAAGAAUGCACACAAGGUGUUUGAAUAAAUGCCCAAGAAUUCUAUUACUCUUAAGAAUUCAACAUACAAUGGAUGGUUUACAAAUGAGGGGGAGUCUCUCUAUUUAUAGUUGAGCUCCCCCAGAACUGACGGUUAAGAUACAUUUACAUCAACGGACGAGAUUAACGAUAUCCCAUAAUUUAAGGGAUUUACAAGAUAUGCCUUAUCAAAUCUAAUCUAAUCUUUACAAGAUAUGAUUCUCUCUAUCUUUUAAGAUUAGUUGCCUAAAAUAGCCUAAGUUGCCAUAUCUCCGCUAUUGGAUCAUCUAGGCUUCAAUCUGACAGGCUUCUCCAACAUUUCUUUGAAUCGGGCCAGUUCUUGUGGGCUGAAUGAUCCCCAUCUAAUUGAUCAACCUCCAUGGGCCGCAUCUUGUGCCAUGGUCACGGGCUUGGAACUUUGGCCCGUGACAUUCUCCCCCACCCAUUCUCGCAACGCCCUCGUUGUGACUUUCGAAUGGCACUGACUUGAUUCGUCUCGAAACUCUCUCAUUGCCUUGGAUUCUUCCCGGCUUGACUUGUAAUCGGAUUGUCCCUUUCUUGGAACCUUUGCCUCAGCUUCCGUCGCCUCUUAACUUGAACCGUUGCACUCGUGGGUACAUCUCGUUGGAAAGAAGUCUCCACUUUAACUUGCCCCAAUUCUGACUUGGUCCCAUUGGAAUCCCCUCGAUUCACACAUCUUGGCUUCGUUCUCCCACAGUCCCUUGGCCUUCUUGCUUACAAACUUUGAAAGGGCCCCUACGAUCUUGCCAAGCCAACAAGUCAGAACUCAAAACACUAUCAGUGUGUUUGCAAUGUACCUUACUUGUGGCAUUCACUCGUCUUGACUACUUUCGCAUGACUUCUUUCUCCUUGAAGUCUGAUGCACAAUCCAUCUUCCCCAAAGGUGGCGCUUCCAUAGUCGACUCUACAGGUCUCACAUCAGACUCACGUUCCACUAACUUUUUCGAAAGGGCUUUCGAAACAUUCUGUUCUAUCGAGUUACUGCUUCCCCCAUAUGAAACAUCUUCGACUAGUUGAAUUGACGACAAAACCUUGGUCCCAACCUUUAUAUCUUGAUGUACUGGUAAACAAUCUUUGACGACGGACCAGUGACAAUAUGGAUUUCAUAGGCCCAUGGAAACAACACUGUCAGAAUCCUGUCAAGGAAGUUCAAACCAAGCACAUAAUUGUAAUCAUCUAAUUGGAUUACCUCGAAGUCUUCCUUGCCUUUCCAUUCACUGAUUUGUGGCUCUACAUUACGAGCUACUCCCACAGUUGGGGCCUCCUCAGAAUUUACUGUCUUGAUCUUUUUAUUCAAUUUCCUAAUCGAUAGACCAAGCUUCUUGGCAGCCUUUUCUGAUAUG